rnacentral:rRNA from 1 species
GUCCACGCCGUAAACGUUGGGCACUAGGUGUGGGUUCUAUCGACGGAUUCCGUGCCGUAGCUAACGCAUUAAGUGCCCCGCCUGGGGAGUACGGCCGCAAGGCUAAAACUCAAAGGAAUUGACGGGGCCCGCACAAGCGGCGGAGCGUGUGGCUCAAUUCGAUGCAACGCGAAGAACCUUACCUGGGCUUGACAUGUACGGAAAAGCCGGUGAAAGCCGGUGUGCUUCGGCGUCGUACACAGGUGGUGCAUGGCUGUCGU